AUGGGAGUUGCUGGUGUAUUGGGCGCUGCCCUACUAUGCGCUAUUCAUGGCGCUACCGUAGAAAAUACCUUAUUUGAAGAUGGUGAUGGCGCAAAUACAUUCCGUGCUUUUAACCCAACCCAAGCAGAAGAGACUUAUUCAAUGGUUACUGCUAACCGCUUUUGGUCCCAAAUCUUUGGGGUUGUCAUCCUGGUCAUGGAUAGAUCACCCAGGUUCGGGUCCAUAAGCAGUGACAAUAGCCCUAUGAAGACUCGCUUUCGCUACGGCUCCGGUGGUUUCCCUUAA